UACGUAGGGAGCAAGCGUUGUCCGGAAUCAUUGGGCGUAAAGAGCGCGUAGGCGGUCCGGUAAGUCGGUUGUGAAAACUGGGGGGCUCAACCCUCAGAGGCCGACCGAUACUGUCGGGCUAGAGUCCGGAAGAGGCGAGUGGAAUUCCUGGUGUAGCGGUGAAAUGCGCAGAUAUCAGGAGGAACACCAAUGGCGAAGGCAGCUCGCUGGGACGGUACUGACGCUGAGGCGCGAAAGCGUGGGGAGCAAACAGG
rnacentral:rRNA from 1 species